CCUACGGGCGACAGCAGUGAGGGAUAUUGGUCAAUGGGGGGAACCCUGAACCAGCAACGCCGCGUGAGGGAUGACGGUUUUCGGAUUGUAAACUCCUGUUCUCUGUGAAGAUAAUGACGGUAGCUGAGGAGUAAGCCCCGGCUAACUCCGUACCAGCAGCCGCGGUAAUACGUAGGGGGCAAGCGUUGCCCGGAUUUACUGGGCGUAAAGGGUGCGUAGGCGGCUUAGCAAGUCAGAAGUGAAAUCCUAUGGCUUAACCCUAGAACUGCAUUUGAAACUGCAGUGCUUGAGUGGGGGAGAGGUAGGCGGAAUUCUCGGUGUAGGGGUAAAAUGCGUAGAGAUCAAGAGGAACACCCGUGGCGAAGGCGACCUGCUAGAAUAUAACUGACGCUGAGGCGCGAAAGCGUGGGUAGCAAACAGGAUUAGAUACCCUAGUAGUC
rnacentral:rRNA from 1 species